rnacentral:rRNA from 1 species
UACCGUUGAGGGAAAGUUGAAAAGAACUUUGAAGAGAGAGUUCAAGAGUACGUGAAACCGUUCAGGGGUAAACCUGAGAAACCCAAAAGAUCGAAUGGGGAGAUUCAACGUAAACUUUGCCGAUUGCCGUGUAACGCGCGAUAUUUGUUAUCUCGGUAACGAGUACGCCGUUGCUGCGGUUUGUAUUGGUUAAGUAAGCGUGCACUUCUCCCCUAGUAGGACGUCGCGACCCGUUGGGUGCCGGCCUACGGCCCGCAAGGUCGACUGUUGCUUGGGCGUUUACGCGCCUCUCGUGGCAGACCUGCGGAUGCCCGGCCGGCUGCCCGGCGGUAGUGAUUAAUCAAGAAUUGGUAUUUGGCCGCAUCUCGUAUGUGCGUACCGGCUCAUUGGCAGGCUCGCCUUGCUCGGUAAACGGACCUAGCGCCGUUGCCGGGUACUUGGUGGGUCGUUCGCUGACGAUGUCCUCGUACUGGCUAUUACCGGUCGGCGACGCUACUGCUUUGGGUACUUUCAGGACCCGUCUUGAACACCGGACCAAA